rnacentral:rRNA from 1 species
UACGGUGGAUGCAAGCGUUAUCCGGAAUGAUUGGGCGUAAAGCGUCCGCAGGUGGCUGUGUAAGUCUGCUGUUAAAGAGUCUAGCUCAACUAGAUAAAAGCAGUGGAAACUACACGGCUAGAGUACGUUCGGGGCAGAGGGAAUUCCUGGUGUAGCGGUGAAAUGCGUAGAGAUCAGGAAGAACACCGGUGGCGAAGGCGCUCUGCUAGGCCGUAACUGACACUGAGGGACGAAAGCUAGGGGAGCGAAUGGG